UUAGUUCAUUAAGUUCUUCGAAUUAUUUUUUCUAGUUCAUCAAACAAAUCUUACACACAAAAAAGAGGUUGCACUUGUCACAAAAGAUGUUUAUCAUGUCUCUCUUUCAUGUCUUGCUUAUAUUAUCUUGCCCUGAAUACUUCAAGUUUUGUUUAUUAUUUUUUUUGCUUUAUUUUGGAAAGAGAAAGGAGGGAGAAUUCCGCAAUAAAUUCUUAUGAUAAUGAAAGGAAAUUCAGAAAUGAAAGGAGAAGUAUUAGAGAUAAAAAGGCCUUAAUCUGCUUGAUUUUUCUUAAUGUCAGUGAAGGAAACAUCGAUCUUUAUAUUUAGAUUAACUUUACCUUGUUAUUCUAUUACCUUCUAACCCUAAAGAAAUGUCACUUAAUGUUUACUAUGAAUAAAUUGUAUACCCAAAAACAGUUUGAUGAGUGUAGAUAAUGAAACGACAUUAGAACAGUACUAUGCAGCAAGGCUGUAAUACUGCAUGGCCUAGCAGCAGCCGCCCUCAGUCCCUUGUUGGCAGAACUUUCACAAGAGAUGAGGAGAUUUUCGAAUUGGUGUUUUGCAACAAAAAUGCUUGAUGUUUUAGCAUAGGAGUGCUCUUACUAUAUGCUCCUUAACCUCUUGGUGGCUUUCAUUUCAAACAUGAAUAAUUCAAUCAAUUGUAAUUUUUUUAGGAGACAAGUUUACUGGAUUGUCAAAUUUUUCUCUGCCAAUAAAUCAAGAACUGCUACUUCAUUUAUUCUGAUUACACUGGCUUACUGGCAAAAAGUCAGUAGCCAGAUUAAGAACCACUGAGUUUAGCAUCACAGGGCUCAAACACAUCCCAAUACUGUGAUUACAAAUGCAGACUAAUUGAGGCUACAGAUGAAUUUUAUCCCAUCCUCCAAUUGGUGGCAGCAAUCUCUCUCCCCAGUCCACACUCCAGCCACAUUUCCAGACAAAGGACUGGAGAGAGCCUUGCUUCUGUGUCCCCUUCUAGGCCUCACAUUACAUGAUUGGCAGGGCCAUUCCCCAUCUCAGCUGCAGGUCUCAGGUUACUGCUAUUUGAUCAGUGUCCCAGGCCACUAUUAUCUUCUUUUGCAUGGCUAGAAUUCCUUCUGAAAACAUCAACUCAUGUUUUACUGAGAAAUCUAGACAAACAUCUCCACAGUCUCUGAAACAUGUCAGCUAGACCCCUCACACUUACUGUUCCAUCUCUGCAUGCAGUCUACAUAACUUGCAGCCCUCCAUUUGGGCAUUCAUAAAGAGAGUUUUAGAAAGAGAAGAAUUAUGGAGCUCUUAUCCAUACCCUCUGCUUGGUUGCCCAUAGGGAGGUGGCAUUUUGGUCAUACUUGUUUGAAUUAUUUGUGCAGGGAUAGUACAGCCAUCUGGAGUUCCAGCACCAAUUGGCACAAAGCACAGAAUUUGGGGAUGGAGUGUCUGAGAAGGUCUUCAAGUCGCGGUUGGCUCGUAAGAUGGAGAAGUUUACAGCUGGUGGCGGUGAGGGGAAGAGCAAGAGGAGCAUGUGGGAGUGGGACUAUGAGAGCUUUGUGGAUGUUUCGAAGAGGGCGAUGAUGGGGAGGUCAGGAAGCAGCAGCAGAAGGUGGUUUGGGAGGUGCUCUUUUCCAUGCAGCACCCUGGUGCUCCAUCUCAGAUCUGCAUUGAAUUCACAUAUAUUGGAUUGCUACAACUCACCAACUUCAGUAAUAAGAGAAAGCAGAAGACUGUGAAAUUCUUGGAGUGACUAAACUUAGUUGAAAUUAUUUCUUGGUGCCUAGAUAAUUGAUAAAAUAGAAUAGAGACCACAUCACCUGGAAUCAGUCUAAUACCAAAUAGAUGUUCCAAUGAGACUUGCCAUUGUUAUUUAUUCUUUUAUUUGUGUGGAUGCAGUUUCAGAAAUUGUUUCCACCAAACAAUUGGGCAGCUAAGUUAUAGAGCUUGGAUGCCUUUAAGUGAUAAGAAGAUACCUAAGUAGUAUUGGAUGCAUCUUAAGAAGAAAAAUACCUCUAAAGUUUGUCAUGGAAAGGGAAACCUUUGUCCUUAUGAGGAAGAAUUAUGCUCAUUAAUUCUGUAUUAACAGCCAAGUCUUCUUACUUAGGGUCUAUACUUGAGUUACCAAGAUGGGUUGCUAACAGGAUUGAUCAAAUGAGACAUGCUUUUCUAUGAAAAGGGAAGGAAAGUAUCAGUGAAUUCCGUGCAAAGGAAGAAGUAUGAAAAGGGAGUCUGGGUCCAAAGAAUAUUAGAAACAUUAAUCUCGCUUUGUUAGCAAAAUAGGCUUGGAAGCUAAUUAAAGGGUUGGAUGCACCUAGAAGAAAUCAAAUCAAGUUCUUAUUAUGCUAGAAGGAAGCUUAGUGUGCAUGUUAGAAGAUCCUUGGUCAAUUUUUCACCUAUUUGGAAGGACAAUAGGAAAGAAGUUGAAGCCUUUUGGAAUUGUACUCCUUUUAGCAGAGUUAACAUCCAUUUUUGGUAAAACUCUUGGGUUGGAUCUAUGCUGUUGUCUGCUCUCUUUGAAGAUCUUUGUUGCAGAGUUGUAAAGGCUAAUACCCGUUGCACUAAUGGAACUAGAGAUCCUUGACAUGGAACAUAAGAUUGCAAGGUCUGCUUUUCCUUCAUGAACCAAGAUAGCUAUAAAUUAUGGAGGAUCUCCUAUUCCCAUUAAACCAUCUAGAAUAGCAGACUUAUCGGUGCGGAGCCUUACAAAGAGUGGUAGUUUUACUACUGACUUCUACUACAAGUUCAUCAAUAACAUGGUAUUCUUUACCCUUACUACAAAACAAUCUGGAAGAGAAAGUUAAAAUGUUCCUGUGGCUUGCCUUGGAGAAUAUAUUGCAUACUGGAGAUGCUUUUGUGAAAAAGGUUGGAUGGUCAGCUCAAGUUGCCCAUUGUAUCGUAAAAUUUCUUAACUGCCCGUUUACUAGAAGCAUUUGGUCCUCAUUGAACUCAUGUUCGAAAUUGAAUUAUUGGCCUCCUGAUCUUCAUGCCCUUUGGACAACCUGGAGAUGAAAGAAAAUCAAAUUGUUGCUGAGGAGGGCUUGUGAUCAACUUCUUAUGGCACUGCAUCGACAAGUACUUGGAGACCCAGUGGAUGUGUUGGAAUGGCUGUGACUAUUUGCAAGAAUGCAAACCAAGAUUUCUUUACCAAUGAAUUUGGACUUCCCUUAACCAUGAACCCCAAGUAUGUGAGCCUGCUCCAUGACACUUUGUAUGUAGACAAACACAACUUUUCUUCUGCAAAUAUAUAUGUUUUUAGCAAGAAUUUGUAUCUGGUUUCUUAAUUUGUAUGGUCAUAUUCUUUUCUCUCUCAACUAUAUUGUUGAAUGGAACAAUUUGCAUCUUUUA